GCGGACGGGUGAGUAAGGCAUAGGAAUCUACCCGGUAGUGGGGGAUAACCUGAGGAAACUCAGGCUAAUACCGCAUACGUCCUACGGGAGAAAGCGGGGGACCUUCGGGCCUCGCGCUAUCGGCUGAGCCUAUGUCGGAUUAGCUGGUUGGUAGGGUAACGGCCUACCAAGGCGACGAUCCGUAGCUGGUUUGAGAGGAUGAUCAGCCACAUCGGGACUGAGACACGGCCCGAACUCCUUACGGGGAGGCAGCAGUGGGGAAUAUUGGACAAUGGGGGCAACCCUGAUCCAGCCAUGCCGCGUGUGUGAAGAAGGCUUUCGGGUUGUAAAGCACUUUCAGCGGGGAAGAAGGCGUGCGGGUUAAUAGCCGGCACGAACGACAUCACCCGCAGAAGAAGCACCGGCAAACUCCGUGCCAGCAGCCGCGGUAAUACGGAGGGUGCGAGCGUUAAUCGGAAUUACUGGGCGUAAAGCGCGCGUAGGCGGCGAGAUAAGCCGGUUGUGAAAGCCCCGGGCUCAACCUGGGAAUGGCAUCCGGAACUGUCUGGCUAGAGUGCAGGAGAGGAAGGUGGAAUUCCCGGUGUAGCGGUGAAAUGCGUAGAGAUCGGGAGGAAUACCAGUGGCGAAGGCGGCCUUCUGGCCUGACACUGACGCUGAGGUGCGAAAGCGUGGGUAGCAAACAGGAUUAGAUACCCUGGUAGUCCACGCCGUAAACGCUGUCGACUAGCCGUUGGGAGCCUUGAGUUCUUAGUGGCGCAGUUAACGCGAUAAGUCGACCGCCUGGGGAGUACGGCCGCAAGGUUAAAACUCAAAUGAAUUGACGGGGGCCCGCACAAGCGGUGGAGCAUGUGGUUUAAUUCGAUGCAACGCGAAGCACCUUACCUACCCUUGACAUCCUCGGAACUUGGCAGAGAUGCCUUGGUGCCUUCGGGAGCCGAGUGACAGGUGCUGCAUGGCUGUCGUCAGCUCGUGUUGUGAAAUGUUGGGUUAAGUCCCGUAACGAGCGCAACCCUUAUCCCUAUUUGCCAGCGGUCCGGCCGGGAACUCUAGGGAGACUGCCGGUGACAAACCGGAGGAAGGUGGGGACGACGUCAAGUCAUCAUGGCCCUUACGGGUAGGGCUACACACGUGCUACAAUGGUCGGUACAAAGGGCGGCGAAGGCGCGAGCUGGAGCUAAUCCCGAAAAGCCGAUCUCAGUCCGGAUCGGAGUCUGCAACUCGACUCC
rnacentral:rRNA from 1 species